rnacentral:tRNA from 1 species
GGAGGGGUGGCAGAGCGGUUGAAUGCGGCGGUCUUGAAAACCGUUGUGGGGCAACCUACCGUGAGUUCGAAUCUCACCCCCUCCG